GACGAACGCUGGCGGCGUGCUUAACACAUGCAAGUCGAACGGAAAGGCCCUGCUUUUGUGGGGUGCUCGAGUGGCGAACGGGUGAGUAACACGUGAGUAACCUGCCCUUGACUUUGGGAUAACUUCAGGAAACUGGGGCUAAUACCGGAUAGGAGCUCCUGCUGCAUGGUGGGGGUUGGAAAGUUUCGGCGGUUGGGGAUGGACUCGCGGCUUAUCAGCUUGUUGGUGGGGUAGUGGCUUCCCAAGGCUUUGACGGUAGCCGGCCUGAGGGGGUGACCGGCCACAUUGGGACUGAGAUACGGCCCAGACUCCUACGGGAGGCAGCAGUGGGGAAUAUUGCACAAUGGGCGGAAGCCUGAUGCAGCAACGCCGCGUGCGGGAUGACGGCCUUCGGGUUGUAAACCGCUUUCGCCUGUGACGAAGCGUGAGUGACGGUAAUGGGUAAAGAAGCACCGGCUAACUACGUG
rnacentral:rRNA from 1 species